rnacentral:rRNA from 1 species
AGGGUUUGAUUAUGGCUCAGGACGAACGCUGGCGGCGUGCUUAACACAUGCAAGUCGAACGAAAAGACGGAAAGAGCUUGCUCUUUUCAGAAUUGAGUGGCAAACGGGUGAGUAACACGUAAACAACCUGCCUUCAGGAUGGGGACAACAGACGGAAACGACUGCUAAUACCGAAUAGCUUCCAGAGAUCGCAUGAUCCAUGGAAGAAAAGGUGGCCUCUACCUGUAAGCUAUCGCCUGAAGAGGGGUUUGCGUCUGAUUAGCUGGUUGGAGGGGUAACGGCCCACCAAGGCGACGAUCAGUAGCCGGUCUGAGAGGAUGAACGGCCACACUGGAACUGAGACACGGUCCAG